UACGGAGGGGACUAGCGUUGUUCGGAAUUACUGGGCGUAAAGCGCACGUAGGCGGAUUUGUAAGUCAGGGGUGAAAUCCCGAGGCUCAACCUCGGAACUGCCUUUCAUACUGGCAAUCUUGAGUCCGGGAGAGGUGAGUGGAACUCCUAGUGUAGAGGUGAAAUUCGUAGAUAUUAGGAAGAACACCAGUGGCGAAGGCGGCUCACUGGCCCGGAACUGACGCUGAGGUACGAAAGCGUGGGGAGCAAACAGG
rnacentral:rRNA from 1 species